rnacentral:lncRNA from 1 species
CUCCUAGUUGGCCAACGGCAGCGGCGGUGUGGAAUUUUAGGCCGGCGGCGGCGGUGCGUUUUUUCAGGCCGCCGGUGCGGAUUUUCGGGCCGGCGAUGGGGGUGCGGAUUUUUCAGCCCGCCGGCGGCGGUGCGGAUUUGGUGGCGGCCCCCAGAUGUAGCUGAGAUGGGCGGCAAGGCCAAUCCGCUCGAGUAGGAGGAGGAGCUAGAAAUAAUCGCAGGUGUUGAAUCUCUCCACCCUCUCUCUGUCUCAGUAGUUUGUAGGGUAGUGUAGUGAAAAUAAAAGUGAGAUGUUCUUGAUUUUCAGGACGAUGUGCUCCCCGAGUUUGAUUUUCGGCUGUCGCUGUACCAGUUUAAUCCCAGCUACAAUGGAAUGGAGUGGAACGUAGAAGGUUGCUGAGAAGGAUGGGCACAAAAUGGAGAAGAAGAUAAUGAAGGAUGAACAAGAAGAGGCUGGACUGUAGGGAUAGGAUGCUUUUCUUUGCUGCUAUCAUGAUUUUUGGCUUUGGAAUGUAAUGGAUGGCGGGGUAGUAUUGUUUCUUGUACUGGAUGCCAUUUUCAGUUUCUUGUCAUGAAUGUUAAGAAUGUUGAAUGGAAAUGUUGCUUCAGUUUCUUGUAUUGGAUGUCUUUUGCCUCUGUUUUGUUUCAGGUUUUGUUUGCACAAAUUAACAGGACAAAG